AACCGUGCGAAGGUAGCAUAAUCACUUGUUCUUUAAAUGAGGACUCGUAUCAACGGCAUCACGAGGAUCCUACUGUCUCCCCCCUCUAAUCGGUGAAACUGAUCUCUCCGUGAAGAAGCGGAGAUGUACAUAUAAGACGAGAAGACCCCAUGGAGCUUUAAACCCAACAACACCCGCCCCCCCUCCAAAUCCUAUUAUUUACCCGGUGAUUGUUUGUUUGGUUUUAGGUUGGGGUGACCGCGGAGUAUAAGAUAUCCUCCAUGAAAAAAAGCUAACUGCCCUUAUUAGAGAAAGACACUUCCAAAAAAUAAUAAAUUAAUUUUAAAUGAUCCGACAUUCGAUCAACGAACCAAGUUACCCUGGGGAUAACAGCGCAAUCCGUCCCGAGAGCCCCUAUCGACAGGCGGGUUUACGACCUCGAUGUUGGAUCAGGGUAUCCUAGUGGUGCAGCAGCUACUAAAGGUUCGUUUGUUCAACGAUUAAAACCCU
rnacentral:rRNA from 1 species